GACAGCUUCCCGGGUCUCUUCUCAUUUCCUGCCAGGUUCCCUGCAUUUUCAGUUUGGAACACAGAAGCCCCCGAGUCUUGGGGUUACUUUGUUCUUUCUUGUAACCAGAAAUCCUCGACAAGGAUGGAAAAUCAAGGCGAAAACAAAGAUCAUGACAGGAAAGAAAGGAACAGAUGGGAGGUAAGCCAAGAGAGGAGUGAGGGGUUUGGUGGUGGAGAUUGAACCCUCGGGCGCUGAACCACCCAGUCACAUCCCCAGCACUUUAAAUUUUUUAUUUUGAGACAGAGUCUUGCUAGGUUGCUUAGGGCCUCACUAAGUUGCUGAGGCUGGCCUUGAGCUUACGAUCCUCCUGCCUCAGCCUCCUGAGUUGCUGGGAUUACAGGCGUGGGCUACCAGGGUCAGCUAGUGAGGGGUUUGAUAAGUACUAAAUGUGGGGGAAAGGAGAAGCUCAGAGAUGACUCCAAGGUCUUGAUCUGAGGAAAGAAGGUGUCAGAAACAGAAAAGAGAAGGAGUUGCUGUUUGUAGUCAGCUGAGGUGAAGGACCCAGGGGGCAUAUAAUUCAAGUAGAGGAGACACCUGAAUCUCAGGUUGGGCUCAUCACAGAGGAGAAGAAAUCAGAAGAGGAGAGAGAGAGAGAGAGAGAGAGAGAGAGAGAGAGAGAGUUGGAGGGGGGCAGGGUGUGGCACUGGGUCACUGACUUGGAGGCCAAGAAAUGGUAUCGAGGUUAGAAAUGGGGGCAAGAGAAACCUGAAGAGGGGCCAAGAGAACAGGAAUGGCGAAGGCAGCCCAGUUUCUGGCCUGUCAAACACUGAAUAGGCUCCUGUUGAGUGUAUCUGAGGACGUGUUCACUUCAUAGAGAGAUUUGGUGGCAUAAAUUCUGAAAAGCUAGAACUGUCUGAAAACUCGGGUCAGGCCACUGCAUUUUGGUGACUCUGGUGUGGGAUUUGGAUUUGGAGGUGGAGGUGGUGCUGGGGUCUGAGGAGAAGUCACACGGUGUUGCUGGGUGAAUGCAAAGAAAGGUCAAAGGGGAUGAGGUUAACUUGUGGCCCCCAAUGAAACUUUGAGGCACAAGGAGCCAGCCCAGAAGGAGGGAGCAGGAGGGAGAAGAGCCCAGCUUGGUGUUUGUAGAGGUCCAAGGAGGGAGGGCAGGAAAUGGGUGGGGUGGGAGGACUUUUCUGGAGGCUUCCACAAAACCCAUACAUUGCCUUUACCUUAAUUACCUGCCAUUUCUACCCUGCUGGUCUGAACUUUGCCAGGGAGAGAAGUGUGAAUGUGAGGUGCUUUUCCCUCGUGUGCAAAAGGGCUCAUGAUAGCGGGCCUGGCAGCUCAGGGAAGUUACACCAAAACCAUUUCCAUCUGGUACCCACCAUCGUAGCCACAUCCCCUGCACAAACACCGCCUUCUGUUUGGGAGCACACUCGGUCUUUAUUCUUUUUAUCAUUAUUAUUGUUAUCUAAUGCUUUUGUUUUGCUUUCUCUGCUCUAAUUGGGGCUUUAUUUUUCUAUCCAGGUAUUAAAAAAAAUGAAGUCUGUGGAUGCAGCUUGGUUUUUCUGUUCCCAGAAUCCUAAUACAUUUCGAAUGUUCCACCAACCAGCAUAGACCAGGGUGUUGCUCUUGGGCAACUUAUUUAAGCUUUUCCUCUACCAAUCCAUAAAGUCUAGAUUUUCUACAAAGCCAAGGCAAGCCCUUUUGAUAAAACUAUGACUAUCAUUAGAAAGAGAGGCAUGAUUAUCAGUCUCCAAAGAGUCCAACUUCUGAGGGAGAGAAACCAAACUGCAAAGUCUUGAAAAAAAUAAAAAGGAGAAACUUUAUGGAUAAUUGAGGAAUUUCAAGUAUUUACAUCUACUUAUCAAAUGGCUUGACGUGUGACCUUGAUGCGACCUUGACAUGUGACCUUGGGCUGAAUGACAGGCAGUGUGCAUUUCAAUAGGAGAUAAAACUUAGGUCUUGGCCCAAACUUCCUGAAUGAAGCGCUGGUGCUGAGGCUCAGAACUUGCAGUUUAAACCAUCUCCCUAGGUGACACGUAUGCCACCAACAUGGAGAACUUGUCUCCAUUCUCCGGAGAGGGUUGACUGAACUAUUUCACAUGAUCUCCUCCUCUGGGCGCUCAGGCAGCACUAAAGAGGGGGUCUCGUCCCUAUUAGGAAGAACACCAGCUAUUCCAAACUCUGAGUGACUCUUCUGGAGCCUCCCAGGGCACUGCUGGUGACACUGCAUGAAGGAAAGAAUCCAGAGGAUGUUGUCUCUCUUGAUGAACCAGGCUGACGAUGGCACCUGGUAAGGUUUCCACUUCCCUGGGAGAAGACCCCCUGGUGGCCCCCACCUCAGCAGGAGACCUGUGCCUCUCUUCCAAGCCCCUCCACCCAUCUGCAGGACCCACAGCAUGGCGCCAGGUCCCUGGCCCUGGGAGGGAGUAAGCCGCUCUGUCACGGUGGGCUCUCACCACCCAAGGUCUUCAGGCUGCACAGGGGCACUCCUGGUGGCCUUAGCGCUUUCUUGCGGAAAUCAAAGUCAUCUGGUCAUCAUGGCUUCAUUGAAAGACUGUCCUGAGAACCAGUUUGGAGUUGUUUUGAACCCAAGGGUAUCCAUGCCUCUCAGACAUUACAAGACUAAGGAGAUCUCUGUGAACAGGACACACACUGCGUCACCAAGAAUCAUUUUGGCUGCAAGCAAUAGAAGAUUCAAUGGCUGUUGGCUUCUAGCCCCGGAAUAUGCUCCGGUGGUUCUGUGGCUCUCUCUAGCCUGCUUCUCGACAUCCUGCCCGCUAGUGAAAAAGGACCACCGAUCACAGCACCCCCCCACCCCGAGCAGGAGGCAAGAAGUGUCUCUCCCCCUGGACCUCUACCAUCAGGGAGAGAGGUCUUCCCCACAGGCAGACCCUGGUCACAUAUUUAAUCCCAGGACCCAUGACUGCCCAAGGGAGCAGCCAUUGACCAAGGGCAAUCCCUAUGUCCAUCAGAGUUCUGUGAGCAAUGAAAGGGACCUGACCAUGGGGAGGCCAUAAAAGUGAGUCCCAUCUGGUGAGCAGAUAGUAGCAAGCAAAGAUGUCACAGGACUUUUUCCUCCAACCAGAGCACAGCACCCAGGGAGUGGCAGCUUGGAGCACCAUUGCAGGAGCAACCUAGGGAGAGGGAAGUCAGGAUGGCCAGACGGUGACCAGUUGCAGUAGCACCUGCUGAAUGUUCUUGAGUCCUGCCAUCUCUGUGUAGGGGAAGCAUCCUGCAGUGAGGGUCUGGAGUCCCCCCAGCAGAGCACGAUCAAUAGGUCAUGGUGGCUGUGGCCUUCGGUGCUCAGAUCCAGCCCGUAGGAACAGGCCUUGGCUGCUUUACUUGGUUCAUAAUCUAGAACCUUCUAGGUGAGAUGGGAUGAGGCUUCAGGGAUGGGGUGUGCCUAUGCAAAAUGGGGUCAGGUGGUGUUGGAGCCUAGCUGUGGGAGCACGGCUGGGGUGCUCAGGGGUGAGACUGUUGACAGCCUGGGUAGGCUUAGGGAGAAGCCUCGAGAAGCCAAUCACAAGGCCUUGCAUUUGGCCCGUUACAUCACCCAGCACUGAACACUUUCUGUAUACCUCUUCCUGAUGGGUUCUUCUUACUCUGUGCCCUUCAGGGAGGCUGACCUUUAUGGUGCGGUGGACAAGCUCCCUGACCCGCUGGCUUUGGGUUGGGUCUGGUUAGUGGAGUUAUCAGUGGGAGAGGGCACAGGGACUGGAGUAUUUUUCUCUCCUAGAUAAGCUCCUUACUCCUUUUCUGGAAGGCAGCACCAUUCUUACAGCUCCUCUAGUUGGUCUGGGAAUCACUGCUCCCCUUGCUCUUGAGCUUCAGGCCUAGAGGGAGCAGUGACUUCCUGCUAUCGUUAGCUUCAGGUAUUGCACUGUUCCCUAAGCCCUAUUCACUCUUUUAUAAACAUUAUAUUUAUUAUGGUGUGUUAGUUGUCUAUUGCUGUGAGAAAAUGCCCGAGAUAAUCAACUUAAAAAGAAUAAAGGUUUGUU
rnacentral:lncRNA from 1 species